GGGGAAAAAAAAUAAGGGAGUCGAGGUUUAAAGUAUGACUUUUGUUUCCUUAGUUUUGGAUAACAUGUAAAGGAGUCGCAUCCUCUUUCGUGUAUUUAUUUUUUCUCCCUUUCUGAAUUAUUAUACCUUUUUUACUUCCUAUUCAGGUGACAUUUUGUGAACUUUCAGAACUGGACGGCUGGGGAACUCCCUACGAAGCCUCGGGAACACACAGACGUCACACACAAGGUAGAGUCAAAUCACGUUCCAGAGGCUUCGUAGGGAGUUCCCCAGCCGUCCGCUUCUGAAAGUCUCCUACAUUUCCCUUCCUGGCUUGGUGACGGUGUUGUCCCUAGAAGAGGAAGUGAGUGGAAAUCUCCCUAAUGGACCAUAGAGCAGUAAAACGGUUUUAGACCCUUCACCACUCUCUGCUGUCUUUGUUACCUAUAUUUCAUAAUUUUUGUCUGCAUUUUUUUUAACUCCUUAUAAAAUUGUUUUUCUGCUUCCAAUACUGAUGGGCGAGAUGUUCUACUCCAAGAACAAAUAAAAAUCGAAUAAUUGUAAAAAUG